UGAGUACGAGAUGCUACGGCGUCGAAGCAGUCUAUGUCAUACUUCCAAGAAAAGCUUGCACUGUCAUAAACAAAUAAUGCCUGUACCAUAACCGACACAGGUGGGUAGGUAGAGUAUACUAAGGGGCGCGAGAUAACUCUCUCUAAGGAACUCGGCAAAAUGACUCCGUAACUUCGGGAGAAGGAGUGCCUUAUUUUAUAAGGUUGCAAUAACAAGAUCCGAGCAACUGUUUACCAAAAACACAGGUCUCCGCUAAGUCGUAAGACGAUGUAUGGGGGCUGACGCCUGCCCAGUGCCAGAAGGUUAAAGAAGUCGGUUAGUUUACGCGAAGCUGGUAACUGAAGCCCUGGUGAACGGCGGCCGUAACAAUAACGGUCCUAAGGUAGCGAAAUUCCUUGUCGGGUAAGUUCCGACCCGCACGAAAGGCGUAAUGAUUUGGAUACUGUCUCGGAGAGGGACUCGGUGAAAUAGACUUGUCUGUGAAGAUGCGGACUACCUGCACCAGGACAGAAAGACCCUAUGAAGCUUUACUGUAACUUGAAAUUGAAGUUGGACUUUACUUGCGCAGUAUAGGUGGGAGGCUUUGAGAAUAUUCUUGCGGGAAUAUUGGAGCCAUCAGUGAGAUACCACUCUGGUAAUGUUAGAUUUCUAACUUUGAAUCAUUAUCUGGUCAAAGAACAGUUUCAGGCGGGCAGUUUGACUGGGGCGGUCGCCUCCUAAACGGUAACGGAGGCGCACAAAGGUUUCCUCUGAACGGGUAGAAAUCGUAUCUAGAGUGUAAAGGCAUAAGGAAGCUUGACUGUGAGACCUACAAGUCGAGCAGGGACGAAAGUCGGUCUUAGUGAUCUGACGGUGCUGAGUGGAAAGGCCGUCACUCAACGGAUAAAAGUUACUCUAAGGAUAACAGGCUGAUCUCCCCCAAGAGUUCACAUCGACGGGGAGGUUUGGCACCUCGAUGUCGGCUCAUCGCAUCCUGGGGCGGUAGUACGUCCCAAGGGUUGGGCUGUUCGCCCAUGAAAGCGGUACGCGAGCUGGGUUCAGAACGUCGUGAGACAGUUCGGUCCAUAUCCGGUGUAGGCGUUAGAAUAUUGAGAGGAGCCUUCUUUAGUACGAGAGGACCGAGAAGGAUGCACCUCUGGUGUACCAGUUAUUGUGCCAACAGUAAACGCUGGGUAGCUAUGUGUGGAGUGGAUAACCGCUGAAAGCAUCUAAGUGGGAAGCCCACCUC
rnacentral:rRNA from 1 species